rnacentral:rRNA from 1 species
CCUACGGGAGGCAGCAGUGGGGAAUAUUGCACAAUGGGGGAAACCCUGAUGCAGCGACGCCGCGUGAGUGAAGAAGUAUCUCGGUAUGUAAAGCUCUAUCAGCAGGGAAGAAAAUGACGGUACCUGAUUAAGAAGCCCCGGCUAACUACGUGCCAGCAGCCGCGGUAAUACGGAGGGGGCAAGCGUUAUCCGGAUUUACUGGGGGUAAAGGGAGCGUAGACGGCAGCACAAGUCUGGAGUGAAAUGCCGGGGCUUAACCCCGGAACUGCUUUGGAAACUGUGCAGCUAGAGUGCAGGAGAGGUAAGUGGAAUUCCUAGUGUAGCGGUGAAAUGCGUAGAUAUUAGGAGGAACACCAGUGGCGAAGGCGGCUUACUGGACUGUAACUGACGUUGAGGCUCGAAAGCGUGGGGAGCGAACAGGAUUAGAUACCCUGGUAGUC